rnacentral:rRNA from 1 species
UACAGAGGGGGCAAGCGUUGUUCGGAAUUACUGGGCGUAAAGAGCUCGUAGGCGGUUCAGUAAGUCGGGUGUGAAACCUCCAGGCUCAACCUGGAGACGCCACCCGAUACUGCUGUGACUAGAGUCCAGUAGGGGAGCGUGGAAUUCCUGGUGUAGCGGUGAAAUGCGCAGAUAUCAGGAGGAACACCAGCGGCGAAGGCGGCGCUCUGGGCUGGAACUGACGCUGAGGAGCGAAAGCGUGGGGAGCGAACAGG